rnacentral:rRNA from 1 species
GAUGAACGCUGGCGGCGUGCCUAAUACAUGCAAGUCGAGCGAACAGACGAGGAGCUUGCUCCUCUGACGUUAGCGGCGGACGGGUGAGUAACACGUGGAUAACCUACCUAUAAGACUGGGAUAACUUCGGGAAACCGGAGCUAAUACCGGAUAAUAUAUUGAACCGCAUGGUUCAAUAGUGAAAGACGGUUUUGCUGUCACUUAUAGAUGGAUCCGCGCCGCAUUAGAUAGUUGGUAAGGUAACGGCUUACCAAGGCGACGAUGCGUAACCGACCUGAGAGGGUGAUCGGCCACACUGGAACGGAGACACGGUCCAGACUCCUACGGGAGGGCGCAGUAGGGAAUCUUCCGCAAUGGGCGAAAGCCUGGCGGAGCAACGCCGCGUGAGUGAUGAAGGUCUUCGGAUCGUAAAACUCUGUUAUUAGGGAAGAACAAAUGUGUAAGUAACUAUGCACGUCUUGACGGUACCUAAUCAGAAAGCCACGGCUAACUACGUG